rnacentral:rRNA from 1 species
AGUAACACGUAUCCAACCUGCCGUCUACUCUUGGACAGCCUUCUGAAUGGAAGAUUAAUACAAGAUGGCAUCAUGAGUCCGCAUGUUCACAUGAUUAAAGGUAUUCCGGUAGACGAUGGGGAUGCGUUCCAUUAGAUAGUAGGCGGGGUAACGGCCCACCUAGUCUUCGAUGGAUAGGGGUUCUGAGAGGAAGGUCCCCCACAUUGGAACUGAGACACGGUCCAAACUCCUACGGGAGGCAGCAUG